UAGCCGUAAACGAUACUCGCUAGGUGUCGGCCACGGUGCGACCGUUGUCGGUGCCGUAGGGAAGUCGUGAAGCGAGCCACCUGGGAAGUACGGCCGCAAGGCUGAAACUUAAAGGAAUUGGCGGGGGAGCACCACAACGGGUGGAGCUUGCGGUUUAAUCGGAUUCAACGCCGGAAAUCUUACCGGGACCGACAGCAACAUGAAGGUCAAGCUGAAGACUUUGCCGGAUUAGCUGAGAGGAGGUGCAUGGCGUAGACGUCU
rnacentral:rRNA from 1 species